CUGCGUCUUCUAGCUUCUUCCCUUUGCUUUUUACUCUUUUUGCUUCUGUUGCUUUUCACUCUUUCUCCACUGAUUUUCGUUCGAUUGUUCUGCGUUUUGUGCUUUGGUGAGAUAUUUUAUUAGCCUAUGUUAUGUGUUCUAAUCAAGGAUUGAAUUGGGUUUCUUAGUUAAGUGAAAUUGAGCUCUGUUUGCUUCCAAUACGUUCUGCCAACCCACCCCCAAUUCUUUCUCAACAGUUUUCCAGGAAGCAUUGUCCCGGUUUUCCCGAUUCGAAGAAAAUUCUUCAACUGGCUUUGAUUUCAAGGUAACUCUUUUCUCUCUAGAAUUUCGUUUGGGAUUAUCUUUUUCUCUCUGUUCCGCUGAAUCUCUAUGGCCUCUAAUUGAAUCUUUUAUGAUAUGGGUGUUCUAAAGCAGCUGUCAUCUUUGCAUACAACUUCCUUGCUGCUACGUUGGGGCGACAAUCUAAAGUGAAAGGCCUCAAAUUUACAACUAAUACAAAUAACAAGUAUUGCUUAUUGCAUUUUAUCUUCGAGCUUAAUCCAUCAUUUGAUAUGUAGUACUAACUCAGUUGUUCAUCAAUUUGUUUCACUUUUAGAUUUUAUUAUGGUAAGUAAUUCCUCUAUUUCGAGUAUUAUGUAUCUAUUCUUGAUUUCCACUGAAUGCAUAUAUUUGUGUUAAAGUAUUAAUUUUCAGUUUUUUACAGUUUCGUAAUGCAUUCUUUUGUCGUGUCAUUAAUGAUCAUAUGUUUGCUAAGCAUGAUCAUGUGCAAUAAAAUGCAUCUGGUGACUUCAUUAAUCCUCUAUCUAACAUUUGUAUUAGUUGAUUGAGAAUUAGAGUUACGCGAUUUCCCAAUAAUGCAUUGAAUCGAAGGUUUUUCUUGCAAUUUUUGGUUUUCUGUAAUGAUAGUUGCAAUAGACUUGGAUUGUAUUUUUGCUAAAUACUAUGAUAUGCUAGCUGGGGAACUUCGAUUAGUAUGCUAAAUUCUUAAAAUUGGGACGUCUUGAUGUUUACAGAUGGUUCUUCCAUCAUCAUCAACUAUAUCAAUUCUGCACCAAGUCCCAGAAGGUCAUGUUGGGGUAUAUUGGAGAGGAUGCGCUCUUCUGAAGACAAUUACAGAUCCAGGUGAUGUGCAUUGAGAAGUUGAUUGCAUAGGGCCUUAACCUUGCCUACUUCUCAUUAUUUCAAAUUUUAGGUUUUCAUCUCAAGCUGCCUCUGGUCACCCAUUUUGAACCCAUUCAAGUGACCCUGCAGACUGAUCAGUGGGAUUUUUGAGAGGGACUGGUGGAUCUCUGAAAAGGAACUUGGUGGAAAUUCCUUAUUACACUGUUCUAUCUCAGACGUUGUGAAUUAUAUGCAGAUGGUUGACAAAUUGGAUGAUGAAACCAUGACAAUAGAACUUGGUCCACCUGAUUCUAAAGAGGCCCUAUAAGGAUGUUGAAAGAGUCUUCUUCCGAGUACAUGUCGAGGGUCAACUAAAGAAACUUGGUUGCAAGACAAGUUGGAAAUGCACAAAAGUUUGAUCGCAUCCUAUAGAAUUGCCAGAUAAGGUCAUCUCCAUUUCAUGCAAAAUCAGACUUCUUUAUGCACACAAAAACACUAGGUAAACACUCAUUAUCCUUAUUUUGUUCAUGAUAUAAUUCUACUGUCUAUAAAUUUAUUUCAAUUUUUUUUCCCUUGCCUGGGAUGCUUGCUUAAUGACCAACAUAGCAGAGGACAACUUUUAGUGUUGCAAUAAACAACAUUUUUAAUAAACGAAAUAGGUUUCUCUUUUGAUAUUUAAAUUUGUUUCAUUCAUGAUGAGGUUGUAUAUAAUUUGCAUUGGCAUUGGUAACUCAGUUUUUGACUCAAACAUUGUUUAUGAAGAUUGAAAUUGCAUAAUCAUUUAUAUAGUUUUCAAUCUCGCAACAACACGCGGGUACAAAUUCUAGUCAAGUUCUAAACUUGUAAUUUCCUACAAUUGAGAGCUUCUUAUCACCAAGACAAAGGCCAAGACUUUCCCCAAAAAAGGCCAGCAAAAGUACUUCUGAUUACUUUAAAGUUUUUCUCUUCCGAAGUUGUCAGACAACGGGAAACACACCACCCAAAAAAAGACAAGUUAGCAACUUACCAGUACCUUAUAGUAACCCAUCAACUUUGAAAGUUUUAAAACACACAAUUCAUAUCAAGGGAAUAUCAAUAUGGCAUCUUGGGUUAAACCCUGACUCGGAUGGAAGGCUCUCAUUGGAGAAGAUUGCACUACUUUCGGGUCACAAAGCCGAGAUGAUGCGUCAAAAGUUGGGGUUCUCAAGUCCCUUCCUAAUGCGAACACCAAAUUGUUGCUGUUCCAAGCUGACCUAUAUGACCCUCAAGAGUCUGAGCCUGCCAUUGAAGGCUGUGAGUUUGUUUUCCAUGUUGCCACUCCGAUGCAGCAUAACAACCCAAGCUCUCAGUACAAGGACACAGGUGAAGCUGCUGUUGCUGGGGUGAGAAUCAUUGCUGAGUCCUGCAUUCGUUCGCAGACCGUCAAGCGACUCAUCUACACUGCAAGCAUACUAGCUGCGUCGCCUCAGACAGAAGAUGGGGCUAGAUUCAAACCCUACUUUGAUGAAUCAUGUUGGACACCCCUUGAUGUCUUAUUUCCUCAUGGCACUGAUUUCACAAUGAUUCGUCGAAGGAUCGGAAGAAGGAAUCAAAUGUGACUUCAGUUAGCUGGUGAAGAUCGGUUUUUGAGUAUAAUUAUGGCAUGAAGAACAUACUUGAUGAUAGUGUAGCAAGUGGAAGGAGGUUAUGUUAGAAUAUGAGCAUGAGUAUGAAUCUGUGGAUUAAGUUAUUUGAUUCAAGUUUGGAUAAGAAGUCUUAUUGAGAAUGGAUUUGUAAUCCAUGUUAUGCUGAAACACUAUGUUGGUUGUCUAUAAGGAUUCUAAUAGGGGAAUCCUUAUGGGAUUUGUUGAUGAUUAUGUUGUGUAUAUAUAGUGGCCCCUGCUCUCACAGUUUAUACGCUUUAUCAUUGAACUAAGACCUAUUAUUAGUUAGAGCAAACCGAUUACUAGAGAGAGGAGAAGGUGCACUGCAACCUUACAGUGAAACUUGGAAGUGGUUGCUUCUUCGAGUUCAUCUGCAGGUAUGAUAUUCUCCGUACAUUAGUUUAAUGAACAUCAGUUUGUGUUUUGAUCACAAUAA